AUUUUUAAAGUGUCCCAAUUUUAUUUUUUGCCUUGACCCCAACACUACUACAAAAUAACCUCUCGGCUCUCUCUGUGCUACAAAUGGCGGGGCUCGUGCGAAGGCUCAACGGAGCUGCAAGGGGUGCGAUGGGGCUCGGCUGUGUUUCAGACGUUACAGAGAGGGUGCUCUCGAUUGCGAAGGGCUUGCGAACAGUUGACUGCGACGGUGCUCAGGGUAACGACGUGGGUUGGGGCUCUCAACGGGGUUGGGCGGAGCGACAUGGGUUGGGGCUCUUGACGGUGGCAGCUGCAACAAGUAUAGAUGUCCAAGAAGAGCAAUAGGUGAUCAAGAAGUAAGGAACAGGGAUGAUUUUAGAAAGAAAUUCAUGGCAGCUAAUUCUUACUUUGGAAAGACUAUUGGUGACGAGAGUGAGUACAAGGACAAGAAGAAGAAAUAUAUGUUGUUUGACAAUGAAUUUAGUGUUUUAUUUUAUUUGUAAUUUUUAUUAGAAUAAAUGAUUUCUUUUUGAGUGGUUAAUUAUUUACUUUGUAAAUCUAGUUAUAUUGUAACGACCCAAAUUUACUAAUAAGGUUUAAGGGCCUUGAUUAGUGUGCCGGGAGGACAUAAUUGGAAUAUAUGUGAUUUAAUGAUUUAAAGCAUGUUAUAUGAUUA